ACCUUUAAAAAAAUGGAAGUUUUUACUAGGUAUUAAUUUACUAUUUUAGCGGUCUGUGGAUUACUAGGACGUUGAACACCCUUAAUUUUAGAAGUAUUCAAUGCAGAAGAAUGGUCUGCUUACCUUAUUUUAUGGCGCCAGAUGUUCAACGUGACUUUUCACCCUUGGACCGAACUUUUGUCAAUCAAGUCGAAGAAGCCUCUUUCCUACAAAUCCCGGACGAGCCCCCAAUUGUUGUGCUUCUAAGGUGCACUCCCAGGUGAGGACUUCUUCACUGUAAUAGAUAGUAAUAACUUCACAGACACAGUAAGUUAAACACACAAUAGGCUUCAGCUGAAGGAGAACAACACUUCUUCUUACAGGCUCCUCAGCCUGCACUAACCAAGUGAGUUCUGAUCUCUCUUCCUCUUACCGCCCUUUUUAUUGGGGUUCAAACACACACACAUACGUUAUAGGCUACACCAUAUGUUGAGGCUCGGGUCAAAAGGGCACGACAUGUUCUUUAACCUACUUCAAACCAGUUUUAUGAUACUUCCCUGCUCGGACCCCCUGUUGCUACAUCCUGUUGCUACAUCCUGUUGCUAUCUCCUGUAAUAGGUGAAGAGAAGAGAUAUGUGUGCAUGCAAUUAAGUGAGAGCAACAUAUAGAAACUGAAGUAUAUAUAAUAAAACUGAAGUAUAUAAGAAUAUUUGAUGUA